rnacentral:rRNA from 1 species
GUCUAUGGCCAUGCCACCCUGAACAAGCCUGAUCCCGUCUGAUUUCAGAAGCUAAGCAGGGUCAGGCCUGGUUAGUACUUGGAUGGGAGACCACCUAGGAAGACCAGGUGCUGUAGGCG